CCAAUGGCUCUUCUAAGAGCCACCCACACUUCUUUAAAAGGGCUGU
rfam:Dipodomys ordii contig_70648, whole genome shotgun sequence.